AGUGAACGCUGGCGGUAGGCCUAACACAUGCGAGUCGAACGGCAGCACGGUAAGAGCUUGCUCUUACGGGUGGCGAGUGGCGGACGGGUGAGGAAUACAUCGGAAUCUACUUUUUCGUGGGGGAUAACGUAGGGAAACUUACGCUAAUACCGCAUACGACCUACGGGUGAAAGCAGGGGAUCUUCGGACCUUGCGCGAUUGAAUGAGCCGAUGUCGGAUUAGCUAGUUGGCGGGGUAAAGGCCCACCAAGGCGACGAUCCGUAGCUGGUCUGAGAGGAUGAUCAGCCACACUGGAACUGAGACACGGUCCAGACUCCUACGGGAGGCAGCAGUGGGGAAUAUUGGACAAUGGGCGCAAGCCUGAUCCAGCCACACCGCGUGGGUGAAGAAGGCCUUCGGGUUGUAAAGCCCUUUUGUUGGGAAAGAAAAGCAGCAGGUUAAUACCCCGCUGUUCUGACGGUACCCAAAGAAUAAGCACCGGCUAACUUCGUG
rnacentral:rRNA from 1 species